GAGCCAGCUUAGCCUAGUGAUUCCUUCACAACUUGCAGAUUGUUUUUCAACUGCUAUCUCUUAGUAGUUCGAGUCCCACAGGCUCGGCUUUAAU
rnacentral:vault_RNA from 1 species